GCUCAUUUUUAUAGUAUUAUAAAAAAUAUACUGAAUACCUAAUUUUAUCAAGUCUCUUUCCCUAGUCAUAGAUAUCCCACCCCCUUUUGCCAAUAAAUUUUUUUUUUUUAAAUCCUCUGUCCGUAAUCCCACAUCUGAUGCUCGCCUCCAAGACUUCUCCAGGGCUGCACCUUUUUUGUGGAACUCCCUUUCCUUCUCCGUUAGACUUUCACCCA